GUCCGGAAACCGCAGUGCGGUUCCUGGAGGCACACCGCGACCGGUCCGCGCGCCCUGGAGAUUGCCGACCUAGCGUGAACGGGCGUGGGCUUGCGGCGGGGAGGGGAGGCUGGCUUGAGGGCCCACGCACUUCGAGGUGCGUCCCCCCCGCUAGGAAGUGCUCAAUGUGCAGAAUGGCCAUUUCGUAGUCGAGGGAACGAACUGGAAAAAUCACAGCACCGAGUGCUGGGACUACAGGAAAAACAUUCAUGGAGGAUUUUGUCAGCAGGCUCUUGAGUAAAAUAACAACUGUAUUCCUAGGAAGAGCUCAAACUUGGUCUUAGGAAGGCCAACCAAAAUAGACUCCAACAAGAAAUGAAUUGUUCAACGAUGACUUUAGGGUCUGUAGAGAUGGCUCACUGGCUAAGAGCACUUACUGCUCUUCCAGAUACCUGAGUUUGGUUCCCCACAUCCACAAUGCCUCUAGCCUCUGGGGGCCCUUGAAUUCAUGUGCACAAAUCUAUAUAGACACACACACACAGAAUUAAAAAAUAAAAUUAUUGAAAAGAUGA